CCAAUAGCGUAUAUUAAAGUUGUUGCAGUUAAAAAGCUCGUAGUUGAAUUUCGGGAUCAGCGCGUCGGUCGUGCCUCCGGUAUGCACUGGCGCCGCUGGUUUCUCCCUUCUGAGGAACCGUGAUGUCAUUAAUUUGGUGUUGCGGGAAAUCAGGACUGUUACUUUGAAAAAAUUAGAGUGUUUAAAGCGGGCACGCGCUUGAAUACAUUAGCAUGGAAUAACGAAAUAGGACGUUCGAUCUUAUUUUGUUGGUUUCUAGGAUUGACGUAAUGAUUAAUAGGGAUAGUUGGGGGCAUUAGUAUUCAAUUGUCAGAGGUGAAAUUCUUGGAUUUAUUGAAGACUAACUACUGCGAAAGCAUUUGCCAAGGAUGUUUUCAUUAAUCAAGAACGAAAGUUAGGGGAUCGAAGACGAUCAGAUACCGUCGUAGCCUUAACCAUAAACUAUGCCGACUAGGGAUCGGAUGAUGUUAAUUUUAUAAUGACUCAUUCGGCGCCUUACG
rnacentral:rRNA from 1 species